UACGUAGGGUGCAAGCGUUUAAUCGGAAUUACUGGGCGUAAAGCGUGCGCAGGCGGUUUUGUAAGUCAGAUGUGAAAUCCCCGGGCUUAACCUGGGAACUGCGUUUGAAACUACAAGGCUAGAGUGUGACAGAGGGGGGUGGAAUUCCACGUGUAGCAGUGAAAUGCGUAGAGAUGUGGAGGAACACCGAUGGCGAAGGCAGCCCCCUGGGUUAACACUGACGCGCUCGAGGCACGAAAGCGUGGGGAGCAAACAGG
rnacentral:rRNA from 1 species